AAGACCUUGCGCUUUUGGAGCGGCCGAUGUCUGAUUAGCUUGUUGGUGAGGUAAAAGCUUACCAAGGCUUCGAUCAGUAGCUGGUCUGAGAGGACGGCCAGCCACACUGGGACUGAGACACGGCCCAGACUCCUACGGGAGGCAGCAGUGGGGAAUUUUGGACAAUGGGGGCAGCCCUGAUCCAGCCAUGCCGCGUGAGUGAAGAAGGCCUUCGGGUUGUAAAGCUCUUUCAGCCGGAACGAAACGGUUACGGUUAAUACCCGUGACUACUGACGGUACCGGAAGAAGAAGCACCGGCUAACUACGUGCCAGCAGCCGCGGUAAUACGUAGGGUGCAAGCGUUAAUCGGAAUUACUGGGCGUAAAGCGUGCGCAGGUGGUUUUGUAAGUCAGAUGUGAAAUCCCCGGGCUUAACCUGGGAACU
rnacentral:rRNA from 1 species